rnacentral:rRNA from 1 species
GACGAACGCUGGCGGCGUGCUUAACACAUGCAAGUCGAACGCUGAAGCUCAGCUUUUGUUGGGUGGAUGAGUGGCGAACGGGUGAGUAACACGUGAGUAACCUGCCCCCUUCUUUGGGAUAACGCCCGGAAACGGGUGCUAAUACUGGAUAUUCACUGGUCUUCGCAUGGGGGUUGGUGGAAAGGGUUUUUCUGGUGGGGGAUGGGCUCGCGGCCUAUCAGCUUGUUGGUGGGGUGAUGGCCUACCAAGGCUUUGACGGGUAGCCGGCCUGAGAGGGUGACCGGUCACAUUGGGACUGAGAUACGGCCCAGACUCCUACGGGAGGCAGCAGUGGGGAAUAUUGCACAAUGGGCGCGAGCCUGAUGCAGCGACGCCGCGUGAGGGAUGGAGGCCUUCGGGUUGUGAACCUCUUUCGCUCAUGGUCAAGCCGCAACAAUGGUUGUGGUGAGGGUAGUGGGUAAAGAAGCGCCGGCUAACUACGUG